CCUACGGGAGGCAGCAGUGGGGAAUAUUGCACAAUGGGGGAAACCCUGAUGCAGCGACGCCGCGUGAGUGAGGAAGUAUUUCGGUAUGUAAAGCUCUAUCAGCAGGGAAGAAAAUGACGGUACCUGACUACGAAGCCCCGGCUAACUACGUGCCAGCCGCCGCGGUCAUACGGAGGGGGCAAGCGUUAUCCGGAUUUACUGGGUGUAAAGGGAGCGUAGACGGUUAAUCAAGUCAGAAGUGAAAACCCAGGGCUCAACCUUGGGACUGCUUUUGAAACUGAGUAGCUAGAGUGCAGGAGAGGUAAGCGGAAUUCGUAGUGUAGCGGUGAAAUGCGUAGAUAUUAGGAGGAACACCAGUGGCGAAGGCGGCUUACUGGACUGUAACUGACGUUGAGGCUCGAAAGCGUGGGGAGCAAACAGGAUUAGAUACCCGAGUAGUC
rnacentral:rRNA from 1 species